UACCAGCAACCCGAGUGGUCGGGACGUUUAUUGGGCCUAAAGCAUCCGUAGCCGGUUCUACAAGUCUUCCGUUAAAUCCACCUGCUUAACAGAUGGGCUGCGGAAGAUACUAUAGAGCUAGGAGGCGGGAGAGGCAAGCGGUACUCGAUGGGUAGGGGUAAAAUCCGUUGAUCCAUUGAAGACCACCAGUGGCGAAGGCGGCUUGCCAGAACGCGCUCGACGGUGAGGGAUGAAAGCUGGGGGAGCAAACCGG
rnacentral:rRNA from 1 species